rnacentral:ncRNA from 2 species
CGACGUUCCAAGGGGAGCCCCAUAGCACGGGGCUGAGAUGAUGCCGUAAGGCGCCGAACCCUUUGAACCUGAUCCGGGUCGUACCGGCGUAGGGACAGGAACAAACGGGCCAC